GAGUUUGAUCCUGGCUCAGGAUGAACGCUAGCGGCAGGCUUAACACAUGCAAGUCGAGGGGUAUAGGUUUUCGGACCUAGAGACCGGCGCACGGGUGCGUAACGCGUAUGCAAUCUGCCUUGUACUGGGGGAUAGCCCAGAGAAAUUUGGAUUAAUACCCCAUAGUAUAAUAGAAUCGCAUGGUUUUAUUAUUAAAGUUCCAACGGUACAAGAUGAGCAUGCGUCCUAUUAGCUAGUUGGUGUGGUAACGGCAUACCAAGGCGACGAUAGGUAGGGGUCCUGAGAGGGAGAUCCCCCACACUGGUACUGAGACACGGACCAGACUCCUACGGGAGGCAGCAGUGAGGAAUAUUGGUCAAUGGGCGCAAGCCUGAACCAGCCAUGCCGCGUGCAGGAAGACGGUCCUAUGGAUUGUAAACUGCUUUUGUACGGGAAGAAACACUCCUACGUGUAGGAGCUUGACGGUACCGUAAGAAUAAGGAUCGGCUAACUCCGUGCCAGCAGCCGCCGCAGUAAG
rnacentral:rRNA from 1 species